rnacentral:rRNA from 1 species
GAUGAACGCUAGCGGCAGGCUUAAUACAUGCAAGUCGAGGGGCAGCAUGGUGUAGCAAUACACUGAUGGCGACCGGCAAACGGGUGCGGAACACGUACAGAACCUUCCUUCGAGCGGGGAAUAGCCCAGAGAAAUUUGGAUUAAUACCCCAUAGUAUAUUGGAGUGGCAUCACUUUAGUAUUAAAGAUUUAUCACUUGAAGAUGGCUGUGCGGCUGAUUAGGUAGUUGGCGGGGUAACGGCCCACCAAGCCUGCGAUCAGUAACUGGUGUGAGAGCACGACCAGUCACACGGGCACUGAGACACGGGCCCGACUCCUACGGGAGGCAGCAGUAAGGAAUAUUGGUCAAUGGACGAAAGUCUGAACCAGCCAUGCCGCGUGGAGGAUGAAGGUCCUCUGGAUUGUAAACUUCUUUAUAUGGGACGAAAAAGGGCUUUCUAGCUCGUCUGACGGUACCAUAUGAAUAAGCACCGGCUAACUCCGUGCCAGCAGCCGCGGUAA